GGGGAUAGCUCAGCUGGGAGAGCGCUUGAAUGGCAUUCAAGAGGUCAGCGGUUCGAUCCCGCUUAUCUCCACCA
rnacentral:tRNA from 1 species